CUGGAUGUUCAAAUCUUGGUUGAUCUGCUGUAGAAAAGGUUCGUGUCAGCUGGAAGGGCAUCACCCUGGGCUGGAGCUGCCGCUAUCACCCCAAGACCACAGAACAGCCCCAUCUCAUGCCAGGGUUUGCCCGAUUUCAGGUCAACUCCUGUAAGGUGUCUGCCCGCAUUUCACACCUGUUCUAUUUUAGAGCCCCUCUUUAAUAACCCCGGGCUCGCUGUAAUUCAGGAACAACACCCCACCCACCCCCGCCCACUGCCUGGCUGCCUGGUAAAGGUAGUCUGGCUCCCGUGGUUUGUGGAGGCAAGGGGUGGAGCCUCACCUCGGCAGAGGAGUAGCCAGAGGAAGAGUAUCUGGACAUGUCAAAGUCAUCGUCGCUGGCCAUGAGAAGAGCGAGAGAGAAGAGUGAGUAAUUUAGAGAGAUUAAACAGAAAACGCUCUGCGUCUUUGCUAUACCCGCCC